UACGUAGGGGGCUAGCGUUGUCCGGAAUCAUUGGGCGUAAAGCGCGUGUAGGCGGCCCGGUAAGUCCGCUGUGAAAGUCGGGGGCUCAACCCUCGGAUGCCGGUGGAUACUGUCGGGCUCGAGUGCGGAAGAGGCGAGUGGAAUUCCUGGUGUAGCGGUGAAAUGCGUAGAUAUCUGGAGGAACACCGGUGGCGAAGGCGGCAUCCUGGACCGGCAUUGACGCUGAGGAGCGAAAGCCAGGGGAG
rnacentral:rRNA from 1 species